rnacentral:rRNA from 1 species
CCUACGGGUGGCAGCAGUCGAGAAUUUUUGACAAUGGGGGAAACCCUGAUCGAGCGACGCCGCGUGGAGGAUGAAGGUCUUCGGGUUGUAAACUCCUGUCAUUUGAGAACUAGUAUCAGAAGAGGAAGGGACGGCUAACUCUGUGCCAGCAGCCGCGGUAAUACAGAGGUCCCAAGCGUUGUUCGGAUUCAUUGGGCGUAAAGGGUGUGUAGGUGGCGCUGUAAGUGGGGUGUGAAAUCUCGGGGCUUAACUCCGAAACUGCAUUCCAUACUGCGGUGCUUGAGGACUGGAGAGGAGACUGGAAUUUACGGUGUAGCAGUGAAAUGCGUAGAUAUCGUAAGGAAGACCAGUGGCGAAGGCGGGUCUCUGGACAGUCCUGACACUGAGACACGAAGGCCAGGGGAGCAAACGGGAUUAGAUACCCUGGUAGUC